UCCACGUUUUCCGCGCCGUAGCUAACGCAUUAAGUGCCCCGCCUGGGGAGUACGGCCGCAAGGCUAAAACUCAAAGGAAUUGACGGGGGCCCGCACAAGCGGCGGAGCAUGCGGAUUAAUUCGAUGCAACGCGAAGAACCUUACCAAGGCUUGACAUGGGCCGGAUCGCCGCAGAAAUGUGGUUUCCCCUUUGGGGCCGGUUCACAGGUGGUGCAUGGUUGUCGUCAGCUCGUGUCGUGAGAUGUUGGGUUAAGUCCCGCAACGAGCGCAACCCUCGUUCUAUGUUGCCAGCGCGUGAUGGCGGGGACUCAUAGGAGACUGCCGGGGUCAACUCGGAGGAAGGUGGGGACGACGUCAAAUCAUCAUGCCCCUUAUGUCUUGGGCUUCACGCAUGCUACAAUGGCCGGUACAAAGGGUUGCGAUACUGUGAGGUGGAGCUAAUCCCAAAAAGCCGGUCUCAGUUCGGAUUGGGGUCUGCAACUCGACCCCAUGAAGUCGGAGUCGCUAGUAAUCGCAGAUCAGCAACGCUGCGGUGAAUACGUUCCCGGGCCUUGUACACACCGCCCGUCAAGUCACGAAAGUUGUAACACCCGAAGCCGGUGCCUAACCCCUUGUGGAGGGAGCUGUCGAAGGUGGGACUGGCGAUUGGACUAAGUC
rnacentral:rRNA from 2 species